CUCGCGAUCUUUCGACGUGCUUAUUUAUUUUCUUUGGGCUUUACAGUACGACGUAUUCAAGUAACCAUUUUCAUUAAUGUUGGUAUUUCGCGCUAUCAUCGAUAUUUCAACAUGAGCAACCUGCAACAAGCUUGUGGAAGACACCAUUACCAUUAUUCCCAUAUAUCAGUCACAUUAUGAUCUGAAAUUAAAAUCCAGCUGAAUCCCAACUAAUAUAUAUACUACGUAUUCUGAUAAGUGAUGCUAUGGUAACAUACAGCAACAGUUCGCCAAGCCGACGUAUACUUUCAACGAUGACAACACCGAAGCCUUUGUCCAAGCACGAUUAAUAGCCAAGUAAGUCACUCACAGUCUUUCGAGAUGGUCAUAUUUCUUGUGGUUUUACAAUACAAUAUUUUUAAGUCAAAUCCAUAUGUUUAUCCCAGUCUUGAAAGCUUCUUCGAAAUUCUCAAUGGACGUUUCCCCAUACUGGCAAAGCAACAAGUUAUUCAAUAUUCUUUACUAAAUUCC
rnacentral:lncRNA from 1 species